rnacentral:rRNA from 1 species
UACCAGCACCCCGAGUGGUCGGGACGUUUUAUUGGGCCUAAAGCAUCCGUAGCCGGUUCUACAAGUCUUCCGUUAAAUCCAACUGCUUAACAGGUGGGCUGCGGAAGAUACUAUAGAGCUAGGAGGCGGGAGAGGCAAGCGGUACUCGAUGGGUAGGGGUAAAAUCCGUUGAUCCAUUGAAGACCACCAGUGGCGAAGGCGGCUUGCCAGAACGCGCUCGACGGUGAGGGAUGAAAGCUGGGGGAGCAACGG